AAAUACUACUCAGCAAGACCAGGUGCCUGGAGCUUUGGUCCCUGACUAGCAGUGACCCUAAAGGGACUGGUACUUCUGUGGAUUGCAGUGAAUUUGACAGUGCUUUGCUUACAAAGCUCGCCUGAGAUGUACUUCCACCUGCAGCUCUACAAAGAAUAGAUAAUUACAGUGAAAGCAUCUUGCAUACAAAGGGGGAAAUGAUUUAUAGUGGGAAUAACCUCAACAGGAGAGCGUAAGCAGGAAUACACAGGCACAGCGAGCGCCCGAGUGACAAACGUGGCAUCCGGGAAGACUUGGACCUAGGCUCUUGGGACAGCCUGUUUCUGAGCAGAACUACAAAAGACUGCGGUGCAAAUGGAAAGGAGAUGACUUACCUAACAGGGGAAGAGAGAAGCAUCAAGGCAGUUGCUUCCCAUAUCUUCCGCGCUGGACUCAACGUCCAGUCUUCUCUGAUACGUCACUGUCACCAAUUUUGGCCUGCAAGUGGAAAGAGAAAACUAUUUCAAAGUCAGCUUUAUACAAUCUAAUAUUACUUUUACUUUAAAAAAUAAAAAGAUAGCUGGUUGUUUU
ensembl:lncRNA